AAUCGAACGUGGAGAUAGCUGGUUCUCCCCGAAAUAGCUUUAGGGCUAGCCUCAGGGAAAAGAUUGCAGGCGGUAGAGCACUGAUCAGGAGAGGGACCUACCCGGUUACCAAACCCAGUCAAACUCCGAAUGGCUGCAAUCAUACCUGGGAGUCAGACUGCGACUAAUAAGGGCCGUAGUCAAAAGGGAAACAGCCCAGACCAUCAGCUAAGGUCCCCAAUGCCGUGCUAAGUGGCGAAGGAUGUGGCAUUUCAUAAACAACCAGGAUGUUGGCUCAGAAGCAGCCACCAUUUAAAGAGUGCGUAAUAGCUCACUGGUCGAGAGACGCUGCGCCGAAAAUGUCCGGGGCUCAAGCACGGAACCGAAGCUAUGGCAUGAUAGCAAUAUCAUGGGUAGGGGAGCGUUCUUAUAAGGAAGAAGCAUGACCGGAAGGACAUGUGGACGAAUAAGAAGUGAGAAUGCCGGUAUGAGUAUCGAAAAGAAAGGUGAGAAUCCUUUCCACCGAAAGCCCGAGGGUUCCUGAGCAACGAUCGUCGACUCAGGGUAAGUCGGGACCUAAGCCGAGGCGAGAAGCGUAGGCGAUGGACAACAGGUUGAAAUUCCUGUACCGGAUCAAGUCGAUCGAGCGAAGGAGCGACGCAGGAGGGCACAUGAUCGCGCGGCUGGAAGAGCGCGUCCAAGUGCGUAUGUUGCAGCAGAGGAAAACCCCUGCAGCUAAAAGCAGAGACAUGAUGGGGAGUUAAAGGAAACUUUGACGAACUCAUGGAUCCCACACUGCCAAGAAAAACUUCUAGCGAGACAAGAUCCGCCCGUACCGUAAACCGACACAGGUAGGCGGGGAGAGAAUCCUAAGGUGCGCGGGAAAACCCUCGUUAAGGAACUCGGCAAAUUGCAUCCGUAACCUAGGGAGAAGGAUGGCCCCCGGUCAGUGAAGAGCAGAAACGCUCAGAGCUAAAAGGGGCGGCAGAAAAGAGGCCCAAGCAACUGUUUACCAAAAACACAGGUGCCUGCGAAAGCGAAAGCUGAAGUAUAGGUGCUGACGCCUGCCCGGUGCCGGAAGGUUAAGGAGAGAAGUUAGCGAAAGCGAAGCAUCGAACUGAAGCCCCGGUGAACGGCGGCCGUAACUAUAACGGUCCUAAGGUAGCGAAAUUCCUUGUCGGGUAAGUUCCGACCCGCACGAAAGGCGUAACGAUUUGGGCACUGUCUCAACGAGGGACCCGGUGAAAUUGAAAUACCUGUGAAGAUGCAGGUUACCCGCGACUGGACAGAAAGACCCCAUGGAGCUUUACUGCAGCUUGAGAUUGAAUCUCGGAAGUAGAUGCACAGGAUAGGUGGGAGGCGCCGAAGCAUUGCCCUAGGGCGGUGCGGAGCCGAUGUUGGGAUACCACCCUUCUGUUGCUGAGAUUCUAACGCGAGGAGUAACGACCCUGCGGACCCUCUCAGGCAGGCGGUUUGACUGGGGCGGUCGCCUCCGAAAGAGUAACGGAGGCGCCCAAAGGUUCCCUCAGGCCGGACAGAAACCGGCCGAAGAGUGCAAAGGCAGAAGGGAGCUUGACUGCGAGACCAACAAGUCGAGCAGGGACGAAAGUCGGGCUUAGUGAUCCGGUGGUACCGAGUGGAAGGGCCAUCGCUCAACGGAUAAAAGCUACCCUGGGGAUAACAGGCUAAUCUCUCCCAAGAGUCCAUAUCGACGGGGAGGUUUGGCACCUCGAUGUCGGCUCAUCACAUCCUGGGGCUGAAGUAGGUCCCAAGGGUUGGGCUGUUCGCCCAUUAAAGUGGUACGCGAGCUGGGUUCAAAACGUCGUGAGACAGUUUGGUUCAUAUCCAUCGCGGGCGCAAGAAGUUUGAGAGGAGCUGCUCCUAGUACGAGAGGACCGGAGUGGACGGAUCAACGGUGUCCCAGUUGUCACGCCAGUGGCACGGCUGGAAAGCCGCAUCCGGGAAGGAUAAACGCUGAAAGCAUCUAAGCGCGAAGCCAACCUCAAGAUGAGACUUCU
rnacentral:rRNA from 1 species